AUGAGCACAUCUGCCAAAUCUUCUUCCUCUGCUUUGAGGAAAAUAGCAGAGCACUCUGAUGGAAGAACGUAUCUGGGACAGUCAGCCUCAGCCAGUGAAGACUAUAGCUCUAGGAAUAGUUGCCGCAUUGUUUUACUGGCACCUAGUGUAGGUGGAGAACAUGUUCUAAGAAAGCGGCUCCAAAAAGAUUUUUCCGCUUCUACUAUGGGACCUUGCAUGUGGGAUGAUGAGGGCAAUCAAAGCAGGUUUUCAAAGACACACAAGUUGAUGGAGGUUUGCAAGAUCUACAUACAAGCGGUUGACGGUUUGGAAGUUCUACAGCGGCUGAAGGUUUGGAGGACAUACAAUUAA
rnacentral:rRNA from 1 species